rnacentral:rRNA from 1 species
AACGGCCGUACCAUUCUGAAUAUACCGGCUCUCGUUAGAUCACCGAAGUCAAGCAUCGUUGGGCGCGGUCAGUACUUGGGUGGGUGACCACCUGGGAACACUGCGUGCCGUU